GUGCCUUUCAUGAUGAAAUAUUGCGGAUGUAAACCUUUAUCGUCUUGUCGGAAAAGCGCAAAAACGAUGUCGAAAUUUUCCGUUGCCUUCCUUCUGAUUUGAAUGGCU
rfam:Verticillium albo-atrum VaMs.102 supercont1.5 genomic scaffold, whole genome shotgun sequence.